GUGAAUCAUCAAAUUUUUGAACGCAAAUUGCACUCUCCUCGGAGAGUAUGCCUGUUUGAGUGUCAGCCUAUAAAAAUCGACAUCGUUGCUGUUUCGCGGUAACGUUCGUCGGAAAUUGGGUCAUCUUAAAUGUUUUGGUUUAAGCGACUUAAAAAUUUCUUUGAUUCCAUGAACGUUUCUAAGAUUUUUCUUUACACGUUUAAGGUAUUGAUUUAUUAGACGUGGCCGUCAUAUAGGAUCGCGUACAUAAAUUUUCAUUAAUUGACCUCAGACAGGUAAGAGUAACCGCUGAACUUAAGCA
rnacentral:misc_RNA from 1 species